rnacentral:rRNA from 1 species
AUACGGAGGGAGCUAGCGUUGUUCGGAAUUACUGGGCGUAAAGCGCGCGUAGGCGGUGUAUCAAGUCAGAGGUGAAAGCCCGGAGCUCAACUCCGGAACUGCCUUUGAAACUAGUACGCUAGAAUCUUGGAGAGGUGAGUGGAAUUCCGAGUGUAGAGGUGAAAUACGUAGAUAUUCGGAAGAACACCAGUGGCGAAGGCGACUCACUGGACAAGUAUUGACGCUGAGGUGCGAAAGCGUGGGGAGCAAACAGGAUUAGAAACCCUAGUAGUCC